GUGCUUACUUCAGCAGCACAUAGGCUGAAAUUGUAAUGAUACAGAGAAGAUUAGCAUGGCUCCUGCGCAAAGAAGACACGCAAAUUCAUGAAGCAGUCCGUAUUAAA
ensembl:snRNA U6 U6 spliceosomal RNA